GACAGAGGGUGCAAACGUUGUUCGGAAUUACUGGGCGUAAAGCGUGUGUAGGCGGUCUCGCAAGUCGGAUGUGAAAGCCCCGGGCUCAACCCGGGAAGUGCACCCGAUACUGCAAGACUCGAGUACCGGAGAGGUUGGUGGAAUUCCGCGUGUAGCAGUGAAAUGCGUAGAGAUGCGGAGGAACACCGAUGGCGAAGGCAGCCCUCUGGGCCAACACUGACGCUCAGGCACGAAAGCGUGGGGAGCAAACAGG
rnacentral:rRNA from 1 species